UAGAGUAACUGGCGUGGGUAAAACCUGCCAACUCUCCACCCUUUGUUUACAUUACCUUUGUUGCUUUGGCAGGCCCGUCCUCGGACCGCCGGCUUCGGCUGGCCAGUGCCUGCCAGAGGACCUAAAACUCUGAUUAAUUGUAUUGUCUGAGUACUAUAUAAUAGUUA
rnacentral:misc_RNA from 1 species